AAUAAACUCAUCACGUUCAAUCGAGCGAAAUCGCACUUG
rnacentral:sRNA from 1 species